UUAUUCAAGUGAAAUAUACGUUCUCUCGUUGAAUUAAGCUUCUCAUUUUUAUUUUCAGCAAAAUUUUUUUCUCUACAAUGAAAAAGUCUUCAAAAAUGUUCUUGUUUUUCUACGUAAAAGUCAUUUAAGGGAGUUUAGUUUCGAACGAUGUGGCUAACAUAUCAGACGUUAGGAUAGAAAUAAAAGACUGUAUAGUUAAAGUGAGUCGUAGCUGUUAUGCGUGUUUAAAAAUAUCAAAGAUAAAUAAACACAAAAAAUAAAAAAUUGACAUCGUGAUGGAAUGGACAAAAAAAAACAUUUUAUGUGGAAUUAGAUCAAUGUGACAUCAAUUAAAUAAUUGGAUAUAAAAUUACAACAAGUUUUUUUUCCUCAAAGGAUGGAAAAUAAUUAACCCAUCAUCCAAAGGGAACAUGAACAAAAUUUGAGAAAAUUGGGAAGGAAAAUGGAAUCAUUAUAAAAUGAUGUAACGGAGUUCUUUGUGAUAUUCCAUCAUGAACUUUAUCUAAAAGUUAUGUUCCUGAAUAUAAUCACUGUACUCCCUUUGUUUAAAAUCCACAAAUAAUUUUUGUAAUAAUAAAUUUAGUAAAAAAA